CCCUUAGAUGUUCUGGGCCGCACGCGUGCUACACUGAGUGGAUCAGCGGGUCAGGUUGCGCGAAAGCGUUUCCUAAUCUUUAAAUCCGCUCGUGAUGGGGAUUGACGGUUGCAAUUUUCUGUCAUGAACGAGGAAUACCUUGUAAGCGCGGGUCAUCAUCCCGCGCUGAAUACGUCCCUGCCCUUUGUACACACCGCCCGUCGCUCCUACCGAUUGAAUGAUCCGAUGAAUAUCAUGGAUUGAGAGUACGAAUGGGUUCGCUCAUUUCUGCUGCUCGAGAAGUGAAGUAAAUCUUAUCAUUUAGAGGAAGGAGAAGUCGUAACA
rnacentral:rRNA from 1 species